AUUGAACGCUGGCGGCAGGCCUAACACAUGCAAGUCGAGCGAGCGGCGGACGGGUGAGUAAUGCCUAGGAAUCUGCCUGGUAGUGGGGGAUAACGUCCGGAAACGGGCGCUAAUACCGCGUACCAUAGGAUGAGCCCAAGUGGGAUUAGGUAGUUGGUGAGGUAAAGGCUCACCAAGCCGACGAUCUCUAGCUGGUCUGAGAGGAUGACCAGCCACACGGGGACUGAGACACGGCCCAGACUCCUACGUGAGGCAGCAGUGGGGAAUAUGGCGCAAUGGGGGCAACCUGACGCAGCCAUGCCGCGUGAAUGAAGAAGGCCUUCGGGUUGUGAAGUUCUUUCGGUAGCGAGGCGUUAACUACAGAAGAAGCACCGGCUAACUCCGUGCCAGCAGCCGCGGUAAUUC
rnacentral:rRNA from 1 species